rnacentral:rRNA from 1 species
AGAGUUUGAUCCUGGCUCAGAAUGAACGCUGGCGGCGUGCCUAACACAUGCAAGUCGGAUGUGCCCGCAAGGGUGCAUGGCAGACGGGUGAGUAACGCGUGGGGAAUCUACCUCUUUGUGGGGAAUAACGCUCCGAAAGGAGUGGUAAUACCGCAUGAGAUCCAUGGCUGGAAUGUUGUGGAUGAAACCUGGGGACCUUCGGGCCUGGGGCAAGGAGAGGAUCCUGCGUCUGAUUAGCUAGUUGGUGAGGUAACGGCCCACCAAGGCAACGAUCAGUAGCCGGCCUGAGAGGGUGAUCGGCCACACUGGAACUGAGACACGGUCCAGACUCCUACGGGAGGCAGCAGUGGGGAAUUUUGCGCAAUGGGCGAAAGCCUGACGCAGCAACGCCGCGUGGGUGAUGAAGGUCUUCGGAUCGU